UACGAAGGGGGCUAGCGUUGCUCGGAAUUACUGGGCGUAAAGCGCACGUAGGCGGAUUGUUUAGUCAGGGGUGAAAUCCCGAGGCUCAACCUCGGAACUGCCUUUGAUACUGGCAAUCUCGAGCCCGGAAGAGGUGAGUGGAAUUCCUAGUGUAGAGGUGAAAUUCGUAGAUAUUAGGAAGAACACCAGUGGCGAAGGCGGACUCACUGGUCCGGUACUGACGCUGAGGUGCGAAAGCGUGGGGAGCAA
rnacentral:rRNA from 1 species